rnacentral:rRNA from 1 species
AUACCGGGCCUUUUUGGGCUUGGUAAUUGGAAUGAGGGAGAGUUAAACGGACCAUCGGGUAUCCAUUGGAGGGCAAGUCUGGUGCCAGCAGCUGCGGUAAUACCAGCUCCAAUAGCGUAUAUUAAAGUUGUUGCAGUUAAAAAGCUCGUAGUUGGACUUGUGUGCGCUGUCCGCGGGUGGCCUGCGCCCAAAAGGGCGUUUCGGUUCGGCCCCGGUGGCGCCUUGAAAUCUGCAGCUGGGGGGACGUCGGCCUUAACUGGUCGGCGACCGCACGCCGGCUGCUCGGUUACUGUGAGAAGAUUAGAGUGUUCAAGGCAGGCAUUGGGUGCAAUUGAAUACAUUAGCAUGGAAUAAUAAAAUAUGGCUCCUGCCGUAUUUUGUUGGUUUUGACUGGUGGGAGUAAUGAUUGAUAGGGACGGUUGGGGGUGCUAGUAUUGAGCGGCCAGAGGUGAAAUUCAUGGAUUCGCUCAAGACUAACUUAUGCAAAAGCAUUCACCAAGGACGUCCUCUUUAAUCAAGAACGAAAGUUGGGGGAUCGAAGACGAUCAGAUACCGUCGUAGUCUCAACCAUAAACUAUGUCGACUUGGGAUCGGCGGUAGUUUUUUCAUUAAGACACUGUCGGGACCACGGGAGAAAUCAAAGUGUCUGGACUCUGGGGGAAGUAUGGUCGCAAGGCUGAAACUUGAAGGAAUUGACGGAAGGGCACCACCAGGAGUGGAGCCUGCGGCUUAAUUUGACCCAACACGGGGAAACUUACCAGGUCCAGAGAUGUAGAGGAUUGACAGAUUGAAGCUCUUUCUUGAUCACUUCGGUGGUGGUGCAUGGCCGUUCUUAGUUGGUGGAGUGAUUAGUCUGGUUAAUUCCGUUAACGAACGAGACCUCAGCCUGCUAGUGUAGUCGGCUGGAUUGCCUUUGGCGAUCCGUGAUUUCGACUUCUUAGAGGGACAAUCGACGCGCAGUCGAUGGAAGUUUGAGGCAAUAACAGGUCUGUGAUGCCCUUAGAUGUUCUGGGCCGCACGCGCGCUACACUGCUGGGCUCAGCGAGUUUUACUUGGCCGAGAGGCCCGGUUAAUCUUGUGAAAUCCCAGCGUGCUUGGGCUCGCCUCCUGCAACUGGAGGCGCCAACGAGGAAUUCCUAGUAGACGCAGGUCAUCAACCUGCAUCGAUUACGUCCCUGCCCUUUGUACACACCGCCCGUCGUUCCAUAAGAGUGAGGCAUCCGGUGAAUUCUCGGGAGAGCCUGGGCGUGGCCAGCAAUGGUCUGCUCGGGUUUGAACUUGCAUAAACUUGGUGCCUAUGAUUAGGG